CACAGCUUGGCGCAGUGGUAGUGUGCUUGACUGACGUGCGGGGGGUCCGGGGUUCGAUUCCUCUUGCUUUUA